CAUGUCCUUUUGAUGAUGAUUUAAGGUCUGGCCUGCUCAAUGAUAAUUAAAUAGCCGCAGUAUUUUGACUGUGCAAAGGUAGCAUAAUAAUUAGUUUCUUAAUUAGAAACUGGAAUGAAUGGUUGGACAAGAAAAUUUCUGUCUCUUUCUUAAUUUUGUUGAAUUUUAUUUUUAAGUGAAAAAGCUUAAAUUUUUAUAAAAGACGAGAAGACCCUAUAGAGUUUUAUAUAAUAACAUAAUUGUUAAUUAGAAUAAUUAUUUGUGUUGUUUUAUUUGGUUGGGGUGAUUGAAAGAUAUAAUAAAUUCUUUUAAUUUAAAUUGAAAAUUUUCAAAUUAUUAAUCUAUAGUUUAUAAAAUUAAUAUAAAUUACCUUAGGGAUAACAGCGUGAUUUUUCCUUAAAGUUCAUAUUACAGGGAAAGUUUGCGACCUCGAUGUUGGAUUAAAAUUAAUUUUUGGUGCAAUAACUUAAAAAUUAGGUCUGUUCGACCUUUAAAAUUUUACAUGAUCUGAGUUUAGACCGGUGUGAGCCAGGUCGGAUUCUAUCUUUAGUAAAAUAUUAUAUUUUAGUACGAAAGGACCAAAUAUAAAUUAAAUUAAUUGU
rnacentral:rRNA from 1 species